rnacentral:rRNA from 1 species
GGGCCGUCAGAGACGAUGACGUUGAUAGGCAGCAGGUGUAAAGUCAGAGAUGACAUAGCUGAGCUGUACUAAUUGCCCGAAAACUUACGUGCU